CCUACGGGAGACAGCAGUGAGGAAUAUUGGUCAAUGGCCGGAAGGCUGAACCAGCCAUGCCGCGUGAAGGUCAGUGCCCUAUGGGCGUUAAACUUCUUUUGUGCGGGAGCAAUAAUGGUCACGUGUGGCCAGACGAGAGUACCGUACGAAUAAGCAUCGGCUAACUCCGUGCCAGCAGCCGCGGUAAUACGGGGGAUGCAAGCGUUAUCCGGAUUUAUUGGGUUUAAAGGGUGCGUAGGCUGUGAGGUAAGUCAGCGGUGAAAUGCCCCCGCUCAACGGGGUGAAGUGCCAUUGAUACUGCCUGGCUGGAAUGCGGAUGUCGUGGGAGGAAUGUGUGGUGUAGCGGUGAAAUGCAUAGAUAUCACACAGAACACCGAUUGCGAAGGCAUCUCACGAAUCCGCGAUUGACGCUGAUGCACGAAAGCGUGGGUAUCAAACAGGAUUAGAUACCCCAGUAGUC
rnacentral:rRNA from 1 species